GGGGAUGUAGCUCAGUGGUAGAGCACUUGCCUAUCAUGUGCAAGGCCCUGGGUGGGAAGCCCUGGGCUCAAGCCUCAGCAUCACAA
rnacentral:tRNA from 1 species